GAUGAACGCUGGCGGCGUGCUUAACACAUGCAAGUCGAACGAAGCACUUUAUUUGAUUUCCUUCGGGACUGAUUAUUUUGUGACUGAGUGGCGGACGGGUGAGUAACGCGUGGGUAACCUGCCUUGUACAGGGGGAUAACAGUUGGAAACGGCUGCUAAUACCGCAUAAGCGCACAGCAUCGCAUGAUGCAGUGUGAAAAACUCCGGUGGUAUAAGAUGGACCCGCGUUGGAUUAGCUAGUGGGUGAGGUAACGGCCCACCCAGGCGACGAUCCAUAGCCGAGAGGGGAGGGGGACCGGCUGCAAUGGGACUGAGACACGGCCCAAACCCCGACGGGAGGGAGCGGUGGAGAGUAUUGCGCAAGGAGCGAUGGCCUGAUGCAGCGACGCCGCGGGAGCGAAGAAGUAGUUCGGUAUGUAAAGCUGUAUCAGCAGAGAAGAUAAUGACGGUACCGGACUAAGAAGCACCGGCUAAAUACGUG
rnacentral:rRNA from 1 species